GACGAACGCUGGCGGCGUGCCUAAUACAUGCAAGUAGAACGCUGAAGAGAGGAGCUUGCUCUUCUUGGAAGAGUUGCGAACGGGUGAGUAACGCGUAGGUAACCUGCCUUGUAGCGGGGGAUAACUAUUGGAAACGAUAGCUAAUACCGCAUAACAAUGGGUGACCCAUGUCAUUCAUUUAAAAGGGGCAACUGCUCCACUACAAGAUGGACCUGCGUUGUAUUAGCUAGUAGGUGAGGUAACGGCUCACCUAGGCGACGAUACAUAGCCGACCUGAGAGGGUGAUCGGCCACACUGGGACUGAGACACGGCCCAGACUCCUACGGGAGGCAGCAGUAGGGAAUCUUCGGCAAUGGGGGCAACCCUGACCGAGCAACGCCGCGUGAGUGAAGAAGGUUUUCGGAUCGUAAAGCUCUGUUGUAAGUCAAGAACGAGUGUGAGAGUGGAAAGUUCACACUGUGACGGUAGCUUACCAGAAAGGGACGGCUAACUACGUGCCAGCAGCCGCGGUAAUACGUAGGUCCCGAGCGUUGUCCGGAUUUAUUGGGCGUAAAGCGAGCGCAGGCGGUUUGAUAAGUCUGAAGUUAAAGGCUGUGGCUCAACCAUAGUUUGCUUUGGAAACUGUCAAACUUGAGUGCAGAAGGGGAGAGUGGAAUUCCAUGUGUAGCGGUGAAAUGCGUAGAUAUAUGGAGGAACACCGGUGGCGAAAGCGGCUCUCUGGUCUGUAACUGACGCUGAGGCUCGAAAGCGUGUGGAGCGAACAGGAUAGAUACCCCUUGUAGUCCAAGGGCGAAUUCCACAGUGGAUAUCAGGCUUAUCGAUACCGUCGACCUCGAGGGGGGGCCCGGUACCAGGUUUUUGUCCCUUUAGUGAGGUGUUAUUA
rnacentral:rRNA from 1 species